GGCGGGAUUUCGCCGUCUUCGUUUCUCUUUCUUCGCGGACGAACACGCGUUGGGCCUGCAUCGUGCGGGAGCCCACGGUCCCUGACGGGAUAUGCGUUAGGGGCUUGUAGCUCAGUUGGUUAGAGCGCGCGCUUGAUAAGCGUGAGGUCGGAAGUUCAAGUCUUCCCAGGCCCACCACUUUCAUCGAGUGAGCAUUCGUCUUCUGGUUACGGGGCCAUAGCUCAGCUGGGAGAGCGCGUGCUUUGCAAGCAUGAGGUCGUCGGUUCGAUCCCGUCUGGCUCCACCAGAUGGUUUGAUCGCCGAGAUCUUGCACCGUCGUCCGCGAAACAUCACUUCGCAUCCUGCUAGUCUGGAUAGACAGCAAGAUGC
rnacentral:tRNA from 1 species